rnacentral:tmRNA from 2 species
GGGGGUGCACCGGUUUCGACGAGGACACGGGGGUACAGGUGGCAUGCCGAGUCCCCACCGACUCGUAAAAAGGUGGGAAACACACAACUGCCGACACCGAGUUGGCACUCGCUGCCUAACUAGCAGCGACGUCCUCCUCACCGUGCCUGCCGGGUGAGAUCAGGGCGUCAGACAGGUAGGCUAAGCCUGCUGGUCCCGGCCCGGGAGCGGCAGGACGAAAACCAACGGGCUGGCUGCCGAGAUCCCCGCCGACGGGGCCGCUGGGCGGCGAGAUCCAAAACGUCGGCUACGCAUGUAGAGGCCUUUGCCGACAGGUUCUCGGACGGGGGUUCGACUCCCCCCACCUCCACCA